ACGCUCGACACCUACGGGAGGCAGCAGUGGGGAAUAUUGCACAAUGGAGGAAACUCUGAUGCAGCGAUGCCGCGUGAGGGAAGAAGGUUUUCGGAUUGUAAACCUCUGUCUUUGGGGACGAUAAUGACGGUACCCAAGGAGGAAGCUCCGGCUAACUACGUGCUAGCAGCCGCGGUAAUCUGAGCGGGCUGGCAAGGC
rnacentral:rRNA from 1 species